rnacentral:rRNA from 1 species
AUUGAACGCUGGCGGCAGGCCUAACACAUGCAAGUCGAGCGAGCGGCGGACGGGUGAGUACUGUAUGAGGAUCUGCCUGAUGGAGGGGGAUAACUACUGUAAACGGUAGCUACUACCGCAUACCAUCAGAUGAACCCAUAUGGGAUUAGCUUGUAGGUGAGGUAAAGGCUCACCUGGGCGACGAUCCCUAGCUGGUCUGAGAGGAGGAUCAGCCAAACGGGGACUGAGACAAGGCCCAGACUCCUACGGGAGGCAGCAGUGGGGAAUAUUGCACAAUGGGCGCAAGCCUGAUGCAGCAAUGCCGCGUGUAUGAAGAAGGCCUUCGGGUUGUAAAGUACUUUCAGUAGGGAGGCGUUACCGACAGAAGAAGCAAAGGCUAACUACGUGCCAGCAGCCGCGGUAAUUC